AUACGUAAGGGGCAAGCGUUAUCCGGAUUUACUGGGUGUAAAGGGAGCGUAGACGGAAGGCCAAGUCUGAUGUGAAAGCCCGCGGCUCAACUGCGGGACUGCAUUGGAAACUGGUCAUCUGGAGUGCAGGAGGGGUAAGCGGAAUUCCUAGUGUAGCGGUGAAAUGCGUAGAUAUUAGGAGGAACACCGGUGGCGAAGGCGGCUUACUGGACUGUAACUGACGUUGAGGCUCGAAAGCGUGGGGAGCAAACAGGAUUAGAUACCCUGGUAGUCCACGCCGUAAGCGAUGAAUACUAGGUGUCGGGUUUCUAUAGAGAUUCGGUGCCGCAGCAAACGCAAUAAGUAUUCCACCUGGGGAGUACGUUCGCAAGAAUGAAACUCAAAGGAAUCGACGGGG
rnacentral:rRNA from 1 species